GACGGAGGAUGCAAGUGUUAUCCGGAAUCACUGGGCGUAAAGCGUCUGUAGGUGGCUAUGCAAGUCUGUUGUUAAAUCUUGAGGCUUAACUUCAAACCCGCAAUGGAAACUGCAUGGCUUGAGUAUGGUAGAGGUAAGAGGAAUUUCCAGUGGAGCGGUGAAAUGCGUAGAGAUUGGAAAGAACACCGAUGGCGAAGGCAUCUUACUGGGCCAUUACUGACACUCAGAGACGAAAGCUAGGGUAGCAAAUGGG
rnacentral:rRNA from 1 species